AUUGAACGCUGGCGGCAGGCCUAACACAUGCAAGUCGAGCGGCAGCGACUUAACUGAACCUUCGGGGAACGUUAAGGGCGGCGAGCGGCGGACGGGUGAGUAAUGCCUGGGAAUAUGCCCUGAUGUGGGGGAUAACUAUUGGAAACGAUAGCUAAUACCGCAUAAUCUCUUCGGAGCAAAGAGGGGGACCUUCGGGCCUCUCGCGUCAGGAUUAGCCCAGGUGGGAUUAGCUUGUUGGUGAGGUAAUGGCUCACCAAGGCAACGAUCCCUAGCUGGUCUGAGAGGAUGAUCAGCCACACUGGAACUGAGACACGGUCCAGACUCCUACGGGAGGCAGCAGUGGGGAAUAUUGCACAAUGGGGGAAACCCUGAUGCAGCCAUGCCGCGUGUGUGAAGAAGGCCUUCGGGUUGUAAAGCACUUUCAGUAGGGAGGAAGGUAGUGUAGUUAACACCUGCAUUAUUUGACGUUACCUACAGAAGAAGCACUGGCUAACUCCGUGCCAGCAGCCGCGGUAAUACGGAGGGUGCGAGCGUUAAUCGGAAUUACUGGGCGUAAAGCGCAUGCAGGCGGCCUGUUAAGUCAGAUGUGAAAGCCCGGGGCUUAACCUCGGAAUUGCAUUUGAAACUGGCAGGCUAGAGUCUUGUAGAGGGGGGUAGAAUUUCAGGUGUAGCGGUGAAAUGCGUAGAGACCUGAAGGAAUAUCAGUGACGAAGGCGGCCCCCUGGACAAAGACUGACGCUCAGAUGCGAAAGCGUGGGGAGCAAACAGG
rnacentral:rRNA from 1 species